CACGUAGGGCGCAAGCGUUGUCCGGAAUUAUUGGGCGUAAAGAGCUCGUAGGCGGUCUGUUACGUCUGCUGUGAAAACCCGGGGCUUAACCCUGGGCUUGCAGUGGAUACGGGCAGACUAGAGGCAGGUAGGGGAGAAUGGAAUUCCAGGUGUAGCGGUGAAAUGCGUAGAUAUCUGGAGGAACACCGGUGGCGAAGGCGGCAUCCUGGACCAACACUGACGCUGAGUGAGCGAAAGCCAGGGGAGCAAACGGG
rnacentral:rRNA from 1 species